UGGGGAAUCUUGGACAAUGGACGCAAGUCUGAUCCAGCGAUGCCGCGUGAGUGAAGAAAGCCUUCGGGUCGUAAAGCUCUUUUACUUGGGAAGAAAAGCAGAUGGCGAAUAACCAACUGUGAUGACGGUACCAGGAGAAUAAGGACCGGCUAACUAUGUGCCAGCAGCCGCGGUAAUACAUAGGGUCCAAGCAUUAAUCGGAAUUAUUGGGCGUAAAGAGUUCGUAGGUUGCUCUGUAAGUUGAAUGUGAAAGCCCCGGGCUUAACCUGGGAACUGCGUUCAAGACUAUGGAGCUAGAGUAUGUAAGAGGGGUGUAGAAUUCCUGGUGUAGCAGUGAAAUGCGUAGAUAUCAGGAGGAAUACCAGUUGCGAAGGCGGCACCCUGGGACAAUACUGACACUGAGGAACGAAAGCGUGGGGAGCAAACAGGAUUAGAUACCCUGGUAGUCCACGCCCUAAACGAUGUCAACUAGAAGUUAGGCCUUCAUUGGCUUGGCUUCUAAGCUAACGCGAUAAGUUGACCGCCUGGGAAGUACGGUCGCAAGACUA
rnacentral:rRNA from 1 species